rnacentral:rRNA from 1 species
GGCGGCGUGCCUAAUACAUGCAAGUCGAGCGAACGGACGAGAAGCUUGCUUCUCUGAUGUUAGCGGCGGACGGGUGAGUAACACGUGGAUAACCUACCUAUAAGACUGGGAUAACUUCGGGAAACCGGAGCUAAUACCGGAUAAUAUUUUGAACCGCAUGGUUCAAAAGUAAAAGACGGUCUUGCUGUCACUUAUAGAUGGAUCCGCGCUGCAUUAGCUAGUUGGUAAGGUAACGGCUUACCAAGGCAACGAUGCAUAGCCGACCUGAGAGGGUGAUCGGCCACACUGGAACUGAGACACGGUCCAGACUCCUACGGGAGGCAGCAGUAGGGAAUCUUCCG